rnacentral:lncRNA from 1 species
UCUGCAGUUUUAUGUUCUGGAACUGGAAUCCAGAAUCCAGAUGGUCAAUUUCAAUUAUAUAUGAGACUGGAAUACAGUAUGAGACUGGGAAUUGGUCAAUGGGAUGAAUGAUGAUAUUUAUUGCCAGGUUUUCAUUUGAGAUUUUUUAAUUUUCAGAUUUUGACAAUUUGUUGGACAAACCCGAUAUCCACGGGUUUAACCGAAAUUCAUAUCAAAAUGGAUUUGGUAACAAAAUUUUACCCAUUAGGCAUAAUGGGGCGGUUAUGGGUAAAACCGUGGGCAAAUUUAACGGGCAACGGUUAGG